rnacentral:rRNA from 1 species
AGAACGAACGCUGGCGGCAUGCCUAACACAUGCAAGUCGAACGAAGCCUUCGGGCUUAGUGGCGCACGGGUGCGUAACACGUGGGAAUCUGCUCUUAGGUACGGAAUAACUCAGGGAAACUUGAGCUAAUACCGUAUGAUGUCUUCGGACCAAAGAUUUAUCGCCUAAGGAUGAGCCCGCGUCGGAUUAGCUAGUUGGUGGGGUAAAGCCUACCAAGGCGACGAUCCGUAGCUGGUCUGAGAGAUGAUCAGCCACACGUGGACUGAGACACGGCCCUGACUCCGUACGGGAGCAGCAGUGGGGAAUAGUUGGAACAAGUGGGACGAAAGCCUGAUCCAGCAA